rnacentral:rRNA from 1 species
UACGAAGGGGGCUAGCGUUGUUCGGAUUUACUGGGCGUAAAGCGCACGUAGGCGGUUUGUUAAGUGAGAGGUGAAAUCCCAGAGCUCAACUCUGGAACUGCCUUUCAUACUGGCAAGCUAGAGUCCGGAAGAGGUAAGUGGAACUCCUAGUGUAGAGGUGGAAUUCGUAGAUAUUAGGAAGAACACCAGUGGCGAAGGCGGCUUACUGGUCCGGAACUAGCGCU